rnacentral:rRNA from 1 species
AUGCAAAUAGAUAAGUAUGGGUGUAGACUUGUGAAUUUCUCUAGUCUAACUCACACUGGUAAAAAGGCAGAGGAUGAACCUUUUGUAUUUGCCAAUCAAGUUGACCAAGUAUUCUACGUGGAUGACCAUCUUUAUCCAGGAUGGUUAAUUGUUUUGAAGAUGAUGCCUCGAGAUAAUUUUGAUAUGGGUGAAGAAUGGAAUGAUGUGGAAACAGAACCUUAUCAUGUCAGUAAAUUCUUUCAGCUUUUUGAUACUGCCCAUCAGAAACAAAAUUGGAUGAGAAGGGAUAUAGAGGGAGAAACUGUAGAUGCUCCUAUAGUGUCAAGUGAUGACACAGUACCUGAAUAA